GGUAACGGCUUACCAAGGCUAAGACGGGUAGCUGGUCUGAGAGGACGACCAGCCACACUGGAACUGAGACACGGUCCAGACACCCACGGGUGGCAGCAGUCGAGAAUUUUUCACAAUGGGCGCAAGCCUGAUGGAGCGACGCCGCGUGGGGGAUGAAUGGCUUCGGCCCGUAAACCCCUGUCAUUUGCGAUCAACCGUUAUUAUUUAAAAGAUGAUGACCUGAUAGUAGCGAAAGAGGAAGGGACGGCUAACUCUGUGCCAGCAGCCGCGGUAAUACAGAGGUCCCAAGCGUUGUUCGGAUUCACUGGGCGUAAAGGGUGCGUAGGUGGCGGAGUAAGUCGGAUGUGAAAUCUCCGAGCUCAACUCGGAAACUGCAUUGGAAACUACUCUGCUCGAGGGUUGGAGGGGGGGACUGGAAUACUUGGUGUAGCAGUGAAAUGCGUAGAUAUCAAGUGGAACACCAGUGGCGAAAGGCGAGUCCCUGGACAACUCCUGACACUGAGGCACGAAAGCUAGGGGAGCAAACAGGAUUAGAUACCCUGGUAGUCCUAGCCGUAAACGGUGCAUGUUUGCUGUAAAAGGAAUCGACCCCUUUUGUGGCGUAGCCAACGCGUUAAACAUGCCGCCUGGGAAGUACGGUCGCAGAUUAA
rnacentral:rRNA from 1 species